GAUUCCUCCUCCACGUAGCUCUCCUCUUCAUGUCACACAACGCCGGAGGCCUGUCGUGCAGCCGCCGCUAGAGACCUGUCGCGCAGCCACCACCGAAGGCCUGUCGCGCAGCCGCCGCCGCCGGAGACCUGUCGCGCAGCAGUUGCCGCCGGGCUUAGGCGCUGCUAGGGGGACGAGGACUCCAUAGGUGAUCCGCGGGGGAUGGGUCGUGGGCGCUGCCAGGGGACGAGGACUCCGUAGGCGAUCUGCGGGGGACGACAAGAAUUGCUCUGCUUUGCACGUGCUGCCAGUCUGCCUGUGCUACCAGAUUUCAACCUCGACAUUGACGCGCAUCACCAAUUUGUUGCGCCUGG
rnacentral:lncRNA from 7 species